CCUGCUCCAUGAAUAUAAAUAGCCGCAAUUCUGUGCUAAGGUAGCAUAAUAAUUUGUUUCUUAAUUAGAAAAUAGAAUGAAAGGAUAAACAUUUAUAUUCUUUCUUUACAAUAUAUAAUUAAAUUAUAAUAAAUAUAAAAAUCUAUUUAUAAAUUAGGAAGACGACAAGACCCUAAUGAACUUAACUAUAAUUUUACUGGGGAAGUAAAAUAAUAAAAUUUUAUUCAAAAUAUUAAUUCAAGCUCACAAAGAAAUUAAACAAAGUUACCAUAGGGAUAACAGCACAAUUUAUAUUUUAAGUUCUUAUAUUAAUAUAAUAAUGUGACCUCGAUGUUGAAUUAAUAUUACUUAAAUAAGCAUAAUUAUUUAAAGUAAGUCUGUUCGACUUAUAAAAUAUUACAU
rnacentral:rRNA from 1 species